rnacentral:rRNA from 1 species
AGUAGGGCCUGCCCACUGAAAUUUUAAAGGGCCGCAGUAUUUUAACUGUGCAAAGGUAGCAUAAUCAUUAGUUUUUUAAUUGAAAGCUGGUAUGAAUGGUUUGAUGAAAAAAUUUCUGUUUCAAUAUUAAUUUUUUAAAAUUUUAUUUUUAAGUUAAAAAGCUUAAAUAUUUGUAAAAGACGAGAAGACCCUAUAGAGUUUAAUUAAUUAUAAAAUUUUUAAUUUAAGAAUUUAUUUUUAAAAAUUUAAUUAUUAAUUUAAUUGGGGUGAUUAAAAAAUUAAAUAAACUUUUUUUAUAUAAAUACAUUUAUUUAUGAAUAUUUGAUCCAUUGAGUAUGAUUAUAAGAAU